AACUGAUGGGAUUCUCUGCUUAUACAGACCUAUAUUUGUUUUUGCUUUCGGUUUCAGGAAAAAAAAUACCCAUCACAAACUGCAUAAAAGCAUAGAAAUAGCUCUGCUGUUCUGAGGAUUCAGCGUGGGCUUAUUGUAGAGCUUAGUGGCUGAGUUACCCAAUCAUAAUGAGCUACCGUGUACAUCAGCUGAGCAUGAUAAAGCACUCCUAAUGCGUCUACAAUGCAGGGGUCUCUCAGUGAAGAAAGUUCUGUUCCUGUUACAAGCUAAGAACUGCAGCUUAGAGUAUGAGUCAAUUCUUUGGAGGAAGCACUUAAACACCUGCUUGACUUUUGCCAUGUAGAGCAGCUCCUCGCACUUCAGUGGUGUGAGAUCAGACUCUUUACUACAUAAUUUUUCAUCUGUCUUACCUCAUUUUGGUUCCUUUUUGUCUGUAAAUAUUGUACUUUUUAUGAAGGAUUUUCUAAUUCCAUGUUCUCAGAAAGAGCACAAAUCCAUAGCGCAGGGAAUUAUGUUCUUUCAGUUUCUCAGGGACUCAUCUCUGCUGGUACUCCCUUUGUCUUCCUCUUCCUAUACUAUUGGUUUUCUUCUGGGUCUCAGGCACUGGAGGCAGCCAGAGUAAUAGCAGGAAAUGUAUUACGGAAGUGCAGACUACCUGGGAUCAGGACCUUGUUGCCCUGCAGAGGAAGAAGCGGGGAUCUACAAAUAUGAAAAGAAGAUGGAUCAGAAGAUGGGAAGAAAGUGAACUAGCUCUCUCUCUUCUACCUUAAACUAGGCUGCUGUGAACACAAGAGGCUGUAUAUGCAGAUCAAGGUUACCAAGGGACAGAGACACCUCUGGCUUAAGUUAUUUUCCUUAUUAAACUGGCAGUGGAAGAAGUAAGUGGUGUAAAAUUCUCUACAUCAACUCAAAAGCACUGAAAGAUCAUCCAUGCCCUAGAAAAUUAAAUUGGCUUUAUGGUCAGACAAUGCCCAGCAGUGUAAUCCAGAGACACGGGAGGAUUUGUAUUGUAAAGUACUCGAAUUAAAGGAGUGCUUGUAUUCUGGGAGUUUGAUUCUUCCCACCACAAAUGGUGUUUGGAUCUGGGAUUUUUGUUUGGACCUGCCUGUGCCUCUUACAAAACCAAAACAAGCAAGCUGUCAUUUUUACAAAAGCCCAGAUGUACUUUUAUUUUUUACAAAGACAGACAAAUAUCAGUACCA
rnacentral:lncRNA from 1 species